UUUUAUGGAGAGUUUGAUCCUGGCUCAGGAUGAACGCUGGCGGCGUGCCUAAUACAUGCAAGUCGAGCGAACGGACGAGAAGCUUGCUUCUCUGAUGUUAGCGGCGGACGGGUGAGUAACACGUGAACGCUGGCGGCGUGCCUAAUACAUGCAAGUCGAGCGAACGGACGAGAAGCUUGCUUCUCUGAUGUUAGCGGCGGACGGGUGAGUAACACGUGGAUAACCUACCUAUAAGACUGGGAUAACUUCGGGAAACCGGAGCUAAUACCGGAUAAUAUUUUGAACCGCAUGGUUCAAAAGUGAAAGACGGUCUUGCUGUCACUUAUAGAUGGAUCCGCGCUGCAUUAGCUAGUUGGUAAGGUAACGGCUUACCAAGGCAACGAUGCAUAGCCGACCUGAGAGGGUGAUCGGCCACACUGGAACUGAGACACGGUCCAGACUCCUACGGGAGGCAGCAGUAGGGAAUCUUCCGCAAUGGGCGAAAGCCUGACGGAGCAACGCCGCGUGAGUGAUGAAGGUCUUCGGAUCGUAAAACUCUGUUAUUAGGGAAGAACAUAUGUGUAAGUAACUGUGCACAUCUUGACGGUACCUAAUCAGAAAGCCACGGCUAACUACGUGCCAGCAGCCGCGGUAAUACGUAGGUGGCAAGCGUUAUCCGGAAUUAUUGGGCGUAAAGCGCGCGUAGGCGGUUUUUUAAGUCUGAUGUGAAAGCCCACGGCUCAACCGUGGAGGGUCAUUGGAAACUGGAAAACUUGAGUGCAGAAGAGGAAAGUGGAAUUCCAUGUGUAGCGGUGAAAUGCGCAGAGAUAUGGAGGAACACCAGUGGCGAAGGCGACUUUCUGGUCUGUAACUGACGCUGAUGUGCGAAAGCGUGGGGAUCAAACAGGAUUAGAUACCCUGGUAGUCCACGCCGUAAACGAUGAGUGCUAAGUGUUAGGGGGUUUCCGCCCCUUAGUGCUGCAGCUAACGCAUUAAGCACUCCGCCUGGGGAGUACGACCGCAAGGUUGAAACUCAAAGGAAUUGACGGGGACCCGCACAAGCGGUGGAGCAUGUGGUUUAAUUCGAAGCAACGCGAAGAACCUUACCAAAUCUUGACAUCCUUUGACAACUCUAGAGAUAGAGCUUUCCCCUUCGGGGGACAAAGUGACAGGUGGUGCAUGGUUGUCGUCAGCUCGUGUCGUGAGAUGUUGGGUUAAGUCCCGCAACGAGCGCAACCCUUAAGCUUAGUUGCCAUCAUUAAGUUGGGCACUCUAAGUUGACUGCCGGUGACAAACCGGAGGAAGGUGGGGAUGACGUCAAAUCAUCAUGCCCCUUAUGAUUUGGGCUACACACGUGCUACAAUGGACAAUACAAAGGGCAGCGAAACCGCGAGGUCAAGCAAAUCCCAUAAAGUUGUUCUCAGUUCGGAUUGUAGUCUGCAACUCGACUACAUGAAGCUGGAAUCGCUAGUAAUCGUAGAUCAGCAUGCUACGGUGAAUACGUUCCCGGGUCUUGUACACACCGCCCGUCACACCACGAGAGUUUGUAACACCCGAAGCCGGUGGAGUAACCUUUUAGGAGCUAGCCGUCGAAGGUGGGACAAAUGAUUGGGGUGAAGUCGUAACAAGGUAGCCGUAUCGGAAGGUGCGGCUGGAUCACCUCCUUUCUAA
rnacentral:rRNA from 1 species